UAUGAACGCUGGCGGCGUGCCUAACACAUGCAAGUCGAGCGAAGCGCCUUACUUGAUUUCUUCGGGAUGAAAGUAUUGUGACUGAGCGGGCGUAGGGCAAGGUACGCUAGUAGUACUGCUCAUACAGGGGAUAACAGUUAGAAAUGACUGCUAAUACCGCAUAAGACCACAGCACCGCAUGGUGCAGGGGUAAAAACUCCGGUGGUAUGAGAUGGAUCCGCGUCUGAUUAGCUAGUUGGUAAGGUAACGGCUUACCAAGGCAACGAUCAGUAGCCGACCUGAGAGGGUGACCGGCCACAUUGGGACUGAGACACGGCCCAA
rnacentral:rRNA from 1 species